AUUCAGUCUAUGAUGAACCCGAACACUCGCAACAAUAGAUAUUUUUUCUUUCUAGGACAAUGGAACUCGGAAAGCUGCUGAAGAAAGAAGAUCGAGAAUUUCAGAAAAGACCAAAGAUUCCAAACUACGAAAUCUGAGGAACUCCACCUUGUGAUAUUUUAUACACCAAAAUGGACUUCCUACCAUAUGCUACCUACAUAUAUUUUAUAUGCAUCGUAAUAUUAUAUAAGUGUGGAUUAUUUUGAAGUUUAUGCAAGAAAAGGAGCUUUCGUCACCGCACAUUAGUGAAUAUGUAUAUUUCUGCGUCAAUUCAAAGACAGCCAAAUUCAUUUUUAGCACGGGAUGCUAUGGAUAUCAUGAUUAAAGCUUUGUAUUUAAACACUGUUAUAAAAACUUAUUUUCAUUAUUAUAAACGAAGUCAUAUUUUUAUGGUUAUGGUUAAGUAUCUCCUAAAUAUUAACUACCACGGAGGGGACACUUGUUGCAACAGGAAGAAGAAAUAAUGUGGUUGGUCUGUAAUUUCAUGACAGUGUAAUAUGGUUAAUAUGCAAUGAUUAGUUCAGCAGAAAAAAUGUCAAAGUUGUAUAAUAUUUUCAGAUCACGGACUAGAAGCAAUAACGUGGCCGAAACGCGAAACCCUCUCUUCUACUCAAAUGAUCCAGACUUCAGCUUAAAUACUCGUUUCUACCUUAUUUACAUAAACCGAAAUCCUGAAAAGUCAUUCUGGCAGGAAAACGUAGGUAGGAAAUGAGAAGGUAAAGGAAAAGCUAGUUCUAAAAUAAAAAUAACUAUUCAAAAAAUACAGUAAAUCCUACAUCCUUAUAACAGCAUGGAAGGUAACGAUUCACAGCGAGAAGAUCAUAAUCUCCGAAGGAAGCUGUUAAAUAAUGAAUAUCAAAAGGCAGCACAUUCACUGUCUUUACAAUGAUAUGAUGACACAAGCAAAUGAUUAUUCUGGCCACAAACAUCAAGCUCCAACAAAUUUUAUAAAAGUUUUACCGCGCAGCGUUUGUUUACCAACGUCUCACACUCACAAAGAAAUGGGGUCAUAGAUAUCACCACUUGGAUUAUGAGGAACAAAAUAUUUUCAAUAACUUUCAUCCAGCUGCUUUUAAUCCCUCUGACGGUAUCAGCAUGAACGACCAACCCAUUCAAAGCAACAAUAAUAACCUUUUUACAGAUAGCUCCAAAACGGAGAACGGAAUCCCUUGGUAUACCGAAUUCAAAAGCAGCUUCUGGCAAUGCCUAUCUCACAAAGACAUACUUUAAAAUGAGUUCCAGCUCAUACAGGGAUUCAAGACAAUGAAGCCUCUGACCUACUGGCCAGGCAGGCAGCCAGUUGCACGGAUUUACUAGAAUGACCAACAAAACUUCCUUGGUCUUACAUGAAACGAACAACUUUGACAAGCUUGCUACAAAAUUGGCAAAGUAGAUGGACAGAGGCAGGGGUAGGACGAAGGAUAUAUCGCUCACUGCCCAAAGUUAACACGCACAUCAAGACCCACCGUGCUAGCCUAACACAAUUCUUGACAGGUUAUGGACCAUUUCCAGUGUACCUCGACAGAUUCAGACUUAAGGAUAUUCUUUUCCGCGAAUGCGGAGAAGAAAGCGAUACCGACCAUUAUUACUUUCAUUGUGUACAUAGAAGAACCUGGCACUUAAAGACACCAGCGGACUAUGCCUGGACAAUGUGGACGUCUAACACCCUCAAAAACAGACUAGCCCAUGGUGAAAUAGAGAAAAUCUCAAGACACUACGUAAGCAGAAACAACUGUGAAUAAUAUUAUGCUUGAAAUGUUCAGAAUUUAAAGCUGAUAAUCAGAAUAAUGCUUGGUGCCUGCUGUUAUCAAGUUAUAGAAAUAUUAUUAGUAUGUAAUAUUCAUCUUUCUUUACGUUAGAGUGUCCCUGCUGUGAUGGUGUAUAAUUCCGUCUGGUUCAUGUCCGUGGACGGAAGCCAUCACUCAACUCAAAAAAAAAUGUUUUCAGUGAUAUCAAAUUACGCCAAAUGAAGAGUUGAUCAAUAAUGGAUUUCUGUUAUAAGCGAUAGAUCUGUUCUAUGCAGAACGUUGAUAAUUCGUAAAGAUGAUGUCAUCCCGGUGCAACAAAUACUUUUUAACAUUUGCAGUACUAGAACAGAGACCAAUGAUUAGGUCUAGUGGUUGGGAUUAGCAUGCUCCUUACAAUAGCCAGUGGAUUAUUCCGCCCUUCAACGGCCGGAGUGUCACCGGUCAUAUGAACCAAUGCUAUACUUACUCCAACCUGAACUAACUAGAUGGCACCACUACUAUUCACCGCUGAAUGGAAUAGCGUCCCCACUGCUGGAAGUAGUCCUUGUGAGUACAAGAGCUGUACCACCAAACAACUGCUCUGCCUGUGGCAAACAGUCACCGAAGAACAAUGCCAGUGCCGACUCUUUUACUCGCUUUCCUCUCAAGGAAGCACUGCCUCCCCUUCCCCAACCUUAGAUUGAUCCUCAGAGGCGUGACGUACACCCUAAGUAUCGAUCGGAAUUUAUAAUAGUGAAAGUAUCUCUCAGCUCUCCAAUGUUCCAGCUGUAUUACGCCCAGUGACUUUACCAUUAAGUUCAGCGACAAAACAUCUUUUUCUAACAGCACAAUGUGCGACCAUGCCUCAGUCAUGCCUCAAGCGUUAUGACGUUAACUAUAGCAAAGUUACUGUAGCCAGUCCCUUUAACCGAUUGGAUUUUUCAUCCACUAAACAUUUCUGAGGCAUAAUGAGAAACAACGUCUUCAAGAUACACCGCUGAAUCUAGCACAGCUGGAAACGAAUCAUUUUAAAAUUUUAACAAUGCAUAUUUUUUUAAUUCUUUAACUGUUUGAUCAUCAAUGUGCAUAGUUUCUCUGGUGAAAAUUUCAUCAAAAUAGCCCAAGCAUAAUUUUGCAACUUUUUUUCAGCACUGUACAUUGUAAAGAUAAAGUAAAAUAAUGCAUUCAAACAGAAAAAGGAAUCUGUAGCUAAAAUACAUAAUUUAAGGCGUUAGGAAAGCUUUUAGCUAUUUUAAUUCAAAAUACCAUAGAGUUUUAUUUGUAAACAUUUACAAUGUUCUUCAGUGGAACGGUGUUACUUAAAUGUAUGCUUAAGGCACAAUGAGAGAUUGAAAAAUUGUACAUAUCUCCUUCAGCAGAAGAAAUGAGAAAGUAAUUCAAACGAACAGCCAAUAAAACAAACAUGCUGUAUUAAGAAAAUCGAAAUGGUUCAACUAAAGACGUUCUAAUAUCAAAAGUCAACAUAAUGUUCACAAAUAAUAAUGUAAUUACUGCAUGAAUUGACCAAGCACAUACAAACAGAUAUUCGAUUACGAUUUUGUAGCCAUAAAACAUUAUCAAGAUAUUAAGAAGCGCAAUUAACUCAGUUUAUUACACCAUAAUACAUUGUUAUAUUCUGGAAAAGAAAUUUCUUUGAAAAAAUUUCUUAAAAAUAUUUUCUGUAGCAUGGGCAGGCAACAAUCUGUUAUAGACAGCUCUUUGGUCAAUCAGAAUCAAGAAAACUUAACACACUGUGUAUUGCUGAUACUAAAUACCAGAAAUUUAGAAAUAAGUCUUUCCAGUUGUAAGCUGCUAUAGAAACUAGAUUUAAGGAAGGUUUUCGGCACAUAUUUCAGUGAUCAGGAAGCAGCUGACUCGAAGCUUGAUAUAUUAAGCAUUUACGUAUUCACACAUUUGUAUUUAAAAUUUUAAUAUUCGGUUGUAUGCUUCAGUAAUAAAAUUCUUCACCUUA